rnacentral:rRNA from 1 species
GUGGGGAAUCUUGCGCAAUGGCCUAACGGCUGACGCAGCGACGCCGCGUGAGGGAUGACGCUCUUCGGAGUGUAAACCUCUUUUGACCGGAACGAAUUGCCACCAUCAGGUGGCUUGACGGUACCGGUUGAAUAAGCACCGGCUAACUCCGUGCCAGCAGCCGCGGUAAUACGGGGGGUGCGAGCGUUGUCCGGAAUCACUGGGCGUAAAGGGCGCGUAGGUGGCAUGAUAAGGGUGUGGUGAAAGCCCGGGGCUCAACCCCGGGUCUGCCAUGCCGACUGUCACGCUAGAGUACUGUAGGGGCAGGCGGAAUUCCGGGUGUAGCGGUGGAAUGCGUAGAGAUCCGGAGGAAGACCGGUGGCGAAGGCGGCCUGCUGGGCAGUUACUGACACUGAGGCGCGACAGCGUGGGGAGCAAACAGGAUUAGAAACCCUGGUAGUCC